rnacentral:rRNA from 1 species
GUCUACGGCCAUGCCACCCUGAACAAGCCUGAUCCCGUCUAAUAUAGGAAGCUAAGCAGGGUCGGGCGUGGUUGGUACUUAGAUGGGAGACCAGCUAGGAAGACUGGAUGCUGUAGGUG